UGGAUCUUACUCUCCUGACAAAGCUUGUUCUAAUUAUUUGCAUAGCUUGAUCGUGACAUCAAUGGAAAUUCCAGCUGAAUUUUGGCCAAGAAAGGACGGAACAAUAUGAAAGACAUGAAUCUUCAUGAAACUCCUCUCCUAAUGCAGCAGAGACUCCACAGUGUUUGCAGGCUUUGCUUUUCAUCACAAGAGGUCCCAGGGGAGGUUCAAGGUAGGAUCCUUGCCAUCCCGGCUCAGCAAUCACAGAAAGCCAAAUAAAUAAAGCAGGAAGUUGGCAAAGCCCUGAUUCAGCAAAGGCAGAAGCACAAGUUCAGCAUUAACCUCUGCUUAAAAUGAUUUGGAACAGAAGAGUUAAUCUCAUGGCUGCCCAAAAGUCAGACCAGGAACCCAGGGCCUUGACAGUCAGUAUAUCAGUGCUUUAAAUCUAGUGGGAGAGGGUGCUUAAAGCUGAGGAACCUCUUAAAUAUGGGAAAAGCACUUUCCCUGGUAGGAGGUAGUAACUCAAAGAAUGGUUUCCAGCCCACGGCCAGAUGCAGUGGUCGGGCGAUUGUGGCCAAGGCACUGAUGCCCUGAGCAUGGCUGAUGUUGGAUGGCAGUGGACGGGUGACUCCAGGGGAGGCUGCCGUGGCCCCAGCAGCUCCUCCUCACCCCCAUCCCUCGCGUGGGGAGGCCAGAGAUCCCUGGGCAGCGCGGGGAAGGCUGGGGACUGGAGGGGUGUCAGGGCAGCAGCUCAGCCAGGGGCUGCAGCGCUGCCCCUGCUCACCAGCACCGCCCUGGAGAAGCCUCUCGGAUGCGGGAAGGACGGGGUCGGAUCGGGGUAAGGGCUCACGUGGAUCAAAAUACCCUUCCAGGGAGGGAUGUAGGGUCUGCCUUUGGGCUGCAGGGGUGACGCUGGGUCGGAGCAGGGAAAGGGAGUGCAGGACGCCGCCUGGAGAGGUGGGUUUGCGCUUUAAACGUGUGGGACAUCCCCGGAGGAGGGAGCGCGAUGCUCCCCCAGCCCCAAACGCGCCCGGCCGGCGGGACGCGGCUCCCGCAGCCGGCACAGCCCGGCUCCCUGGCUCUCCGCGCUUAUCUGAUCUGCACCUCCGUAAUGAUGUGGUUAGAAUUGAAUUAUGGUGCUUUAAUGUAGUUACAGCUACAUUUCCCAGGCACAUUUCUUCCUGACGUACAACGCUGGAAUUUCGGAUGUGGCCAGAGGCUGUGGGUGACUCCUUGUCUCCCGGGCUCGCUGCAGCCUUGCCACGUGCUGUGCCAGGCCCUGGCCGGAAAGGCAAACUGAGGAGCUCGGGCCACAUCUGCUGCUGGAAAAUCAGUGAAUGACACGGAAAGCCAGGGAAUUGCAUUAAAGCUGCAGGAAAAUACCUUCAGGGAUCCGUGGAGGAAGGGGUGAUCUUUAGCCAAUACACGUGGUAGUGUGACCGUGAGGAUUUUGUGCCCACUGAAGAUCUGUGCCGAGAUAGUCUAAAGCCUCAUGGAAACUUUCUUGCUCGUGUGUCCUUUGAUGUGAACUUAAUGGUCAUGGAAUUCGCUGUAUCAGCAAUAAGAACCAUUUGAUUAACUGGAAAGAAGCAAACAAAGUAGUUAACUCCAAAGUCAGACAGGAAAUGAUGGGUUUGCCGUUUCCAUCAUGCCAGAGGUGCAGGAAAGCCCAAACUUCAAAAUGUGAGGGAUCCCCACAAUCUACAGAGUGUGAGCUUUGCUUAUCAACCUCUCGGGGUGUUUUCAUCAAUUCUGAUCUGCCUGUUGUUAAUUUACAGCGAUGGUGUCCUCUGGGGAGUGACUUGUUUUUCCUACCCCUGAUUCAGCUCCACACUUGUGAAUUUUAAAUGCAUGUGCAUAUAUAAAUGAGUGUCUGUAUUUAUCCAGAUCCUGCCAGCACAUGUUUUGCAAUAAUUCUCCUUGGAUGCUCUUGCUUUCUCCCGCAGUCGAUUUUUUUGAAUGACAUGGAACUGAUAAUGGAUGUGGUUUCAGUGUGAUCGGGCUGACUCGUCUCAUUCCACCUCUCCUGCUUUUGAGCAAGAAUGUGAGGACUUGCUGUGUCUAUUUUAGAUUCCGUCAUGAAAGGAAUAAUUGAGAUUGAGAUUCUUAGUCACUCAAUGCGGAAGGUCAGGGAAUUAAUGCUGUGUUACACCAGACCAUUCAUUUACUGGGCCUCCUUUUUUUUCCCCCUUAACUGUCUGUAGAGGAAAACAAAUGUGGCUCAGAGAAGGUAACGCAUCUUCAACACCGUACACAGCCCCAGCCUCUGAUAAUACACACUGUUUAUCUUUAUUUUGGGGGUGUUCCAGGGUAGUUUUAUCAUCAUAAUUGAUUAGUGGCGACAGGGAGAAAAAAAUCCAAGAGUAACAGGAAGAAAUGAUUCCAGUGAAUCCAUUGACUCAGUGGUAGCAUUGAUCUACUUCUGGGAAUUAUUUAUAGGAGAAGAUUCAUAGUUAAUAAUAUUAGUUUGGACUUUGGGAGCAGUUUAUCAGAGGCUCUUAAAGGCCUUUGGUAAAAAUUAAUCAGGGAGAGAAAUAAGGUAGACAGCCUGGUUUCAGGAGAGGGAAGGAAAUGGGAUUUCUGGUAUAACUCUGUCCUCCCCAGGGUGAGAGACAACACAAAGGGUAACUUGGGGGGCUUGGAUUUGUCCAAGCGCAGGAGUGAGAGGCUGGGUUUCCAGCUGCUCCAUCAGACAACAGAGCUGGGGAAGUCUUUGGCAAAUUCCCCACUAACCCCCUCCUUCAGGAGAGGCCAAGGUGCCCGCAGGACAGUGACCCCUGCCAGAUCCAGCAGGGAGAGCUGCCCAGGGCCAGCACAAACCCUGCUCUUCCCCUUCCUCUCCUCCCUGCUUUGUUUUUGGCUUUAACUUAAUUGAUCUGUAUCCUGCAAUCCUACCCGCAGGAGGAAUGACACAUCUGAAAAAAGCAGGAGGAUUUGUUUAA